rnacentral:rRNA from 1 species
GACGAACGCUGGCGGCGUGCUUAACACAUGCAAGUCGAACGGAAAGGCCCUGCUUUUGUGGGGUGCUCGAGUGGCGAACGGGUGAGUAACACGUGAGUAACCUACCCUUGACUUUGGGAUAACUUCAGGAAACUGGGGCUAAUACCGGAUAGGAGCUCCUGCUGCAUGGUGGGGGUUGGAAAGUUUCGGCGGUUGGGGAUGGACUCGCGGCUUAUCAGCUUGUUGGUGGGGUAGUGGCUUACCAAGGCUUUGACGGGUAGCCGGCCUGAGAGGGUGACCGGCCACAUUGGGACUGAGAUACGGCCCAGACUCCUACGGGAGGCAGCAGUGGGGAAUAUUGCACAAUGGGCGGAAGCCUGAUGCAGCAACGCCGCGUGCGGGAUGACGGCCUUCGGGUUGUAAACCGCUUUCGCCUGUGACGAAGCGUGAGUGACGGUAAUGGGUAAAGAAGCACCGGCUAACUACGAG